rnacentral:rRNA from 1 species
UACGAAGGGGGCGAGCGUUGUCCGGAUUUAUUGGGCGUAAAGAGCUCGUAGGCGGCUUGUCGCGUCGACUGUGAAAACCCGCGGCUCAACUGCGGGCCUGCAGCCGAUACGGGCAGGCUAGAGUUCGGUAGGGGAGACUGGAAUUCUUGGUGUAGCGGUGAAAUGCGUAGAUAUCAAGAGGAACACCUGCGGCGAAGGCGGGUUGCUGGGCCGACACUGACGCUGAGGCGCGAAAGCUAGGGGAGCGAACGGG